rnacentral:rRNA from 1 species
GACGAACGCUGGCGGCGUGCUUAACACAUGCAAGUCGAGCGGUAAGGCCCUUUCGGGGGUACACGGGCGGCGAACGGGUGAGUAACACGUGGGUGACCUGCCCUCAGCUCUGGGAUAAGCCUGGGAAACCGGGGUCUAAUACCGGAUAUGACUCCAUGACGCAUGUUGUGGGGUGGAAAGCCUUGUGCGGCUGAGGAUGGGCCCGCGGCCUAUCAGCUUGUUGGUGGGGUGAUGGCCACCAAGGCGACGACGGGUAGCCGGCCUGAGAGGGCGACCGGCCACACUGGGACUGAGACACGGCCCAGACUCCUACGGGAGGCAGCAGUGGGGAAUCUUGCGCAAUGGGCGAAAGCCUGACGCAGCGACGCCGCGUGAGGGAUGACGGCCU